UCCCUUGAGAGGCAAGGGCUGCCUGCCAU
rnacentral:sRNA from 1 species